rnacentral:lncRNA from 1 species
UAUGUUGAACCUAACAUUUUACAGUUGAAAUAUCGAUCAGCAAGUUUAAUAAGCUUGAAUUUUUUUUAUGUAUAUAAUAAUAAAAAAAAAAAAGUAAUAAGUGGUUGACGAAAAAAACGUAGUUUGUGUCAGAAUAUAAUAAUUAUUCUGUGCUCCUCUAUCAACAACUCGACUAAUUUGUACACAAUAUUUUUGUGUUUGACAGGAGGUAGCGCAGAAAAUAAGAUUUACGGUAUGUGCGCAUACAGGGACUUCUUGACUCGUGUGAGUUUUCCAUUAGCCUUCAGCUCGUGCACCACUGAAUGCUUGUCAAGGAAUCCCCAUUUUAUGUGCACUUGCCACUAAAAUAACUAUUGUAUAACAGCGUGCGAGUAUCGAUACGACUCCACUUUAUGCACGGUAUGCCAAAAAGUAGCACUAUACGCUCACUGUUAUAAAAAAUACGUGAGAUAUGCGUGCGUAAGUUUUUACGACCACGUACAAUCAUGGCACCUGAGUGUCCAGCUGCGUCAGAAGGUAAUUCCAGGGCUAGCAGCAAGUCACUUUUUCCACUUUCUUUAUCUAUUGGUCAUUUUCUUGUUCUUGAAAUUCGAAUCCUAAAUCAAGUACACCUUCUUCUUGGGAUUUGAUUGCUUUGUAGAGAUAUUGUUAGCUUUAAAUUUCGCGCCAUAGUGCCUGGCUAGAGUGGCAUAGCUUUACUAGACACGCGCAACUCGCACGCAUACCCUGCCACCAAAAUGUCGUUAUACACAUAGAUAUUCAUACAUAAACAUUACGUCAUGUGGUUUUUCAAUUGUGCUAUUGUCGUGUCAACAAUUGUCGGAUUGCGAAAGGUACGUGUACAGGUUAAAGUAUAUCUUAAAAUCCUAAAUUAUUCAUGUAUUUUAUGUGCACAUGGUAUGUCCUGGUUUUUUUUUCACAAACUAACUACAUUACAAUUUUUGUCAAGUCAACAUUAGGUUAAACCAGCUGCCGCCGCUUACCCAAUUUUUUAUUUAUAUUUUUGUAAAAGCUUGCAUUGGGUAAAUUAUUGAUUAUGAAUAUCGAUAUUUUUGAACUAGGCUAAUGAAAGUAAAAUGAGGAAAUGUUAUGUGAACAAUGACUAGUCCAGAAUAACUGACCCAAAUGAUAGAAAAGUUGGCGAGCAUACUGCUAUAGAAAACAAACAUGCUGUUUUCUGCAAAGUCUGUGAAACGUCUCUAACUUGCAACGAGGGAUUCCAAGCUAUUACACAGUGUACCCAAAAGCGAAAGGACAACAAAAAUGUAAAAAUAAAGUUGAACCCGACUCAGUUUCAUCUUGCAGCAAGAAAUGCAGCUACAGUUGAACAAGAACAGUAACAUGCAGGCCCAAGGCUUUUAGAUAUCUACUCUGGAAAAGAUGAAGCUAUUAAGACUGAACUAAUAUGGACCAUGAAUGGAGUUGGCCAUAAUAAUUCAAGUUCGGCAUACAAUAACAUGACCAAUGUCCUGAGAGCCAUGUUCAAAAAUACUACAAAUUUCAACUUGUGUUGGACAAAAGUUACCAACUACAUGACCGAUGCUAUAGAACUGUUUUUCGGACAGUGACUACUGAACGAUAUUCGUCUUUUACUCAAUAGCGUUUGAUGAGUGUAUGUCUGAAGAAGAAAUGGAAGAAUAUCAGGUCUCCAUAAGAUAUUGGUCUUGUAGAGAAUGCUACUGCGUUAAACUUUCUUAAAACUUUGUUCAUCGGAUAUGCCGCAGGAAAAGUGCUCUAUGAACUUAUAUUGGAGGCUAUCACAAAUGUGAACUUACCAUCGGCUCGCAUGUUGAUGCUGGGAUCCGAUGGACCUACUAUCAACCAAAAAGUGUUCCGAAUUGUCGAUGUUAUCUUGCUCGAGGUCGAAAUGAUAAAAAAAAAGUCUACUAAGAGGAACGAAAAUUAUCGAAGGAGUGAAGCAGUGAUGAGAGUACCGAUGCGUGCAUUGAUGAAGCAUGUCGCUGGUUUUCAUUAGGGCCAGUGUCAAAAUAAAAAAUCGAGCAAUAUCCAGCUGCGAAGCAUUUCUGUUUUGAAACAGUGGCCAAAAAGGCGUCGGUAAAGCAACUGGAAGAAGACAAUAGGUUAGCCAAGAUUUUCGCUGACCUAAAAAAUCCUUCCACUAUAGCAGAAAUAUUGUUGGUCAUUAAAAGCACCCAGCUAUUUAAGCGCACCUGCAAAAUUUUUCGAAAACAAGAACUACUUAUUUAUAUUCUUUGCGAAGAAGAUAAAAAUUUGUUUAUCAUCAUUGUAAAUAAAAUAUGUAAACCAGAGCCAGUAAAGAACUUUUGGCAAUUCAACAAUCUGUUUGCUGCAGAACAUGCGACAAGUGAACAAUGUUUUAUGUCUUAAAAAGAUUGAGACUGCUCUCCAGAAAUUGAGUGAAAGAGAAAUUCAGCAAUUUUGAUAUAGUGCUCAGCUGCACUGCAAGGCGGCAGCAACUGAACACAUUUCAGUCAAAUCUAUUUUAAGAUCUGUUACAGCUGAACAUUUCAGAUUUUUUCAACCUCAACUGUUAACAUAUUCGAUAAGCACUGUCAAUAUCGCAGCAAUUAAUAGAGUGUACACUCUUGGCAUCUCCAUGGCACAGCUCUUGGAUAAAUGGCUUAUUCAGCUAGAAAAAAUUCCUCCUGCUUGUGAGUGAGAACAUAUAGAUCACUACUGGAGGAAGAUAUUCGAUGUAAAAAAUGAUAUGGAUGAGACAAAGUAUCCAUUGAUCACAAAAGUUGUCAAGGCGAGUUUGUGCCUUGUACAUGGCAGUGCCAAUGUAGAAAGACGUUUCAGUGAGAGCUUCCAUGUCAAUAAAAACACUAACUGCUAGAAUGAUCAUCAAAGAUGGUCUAAAGACAUAUGACGGUAAGCCAUAUUUUUUUUUACCAAAGAGGUUAUCGCCAUUUGACGUUCAGCCCGCUGUAAUUACAAGGUGUACUUAGAGAAAGAAGGACAAAAAAAGCUGAUUGAAACACCAGAGGCAGACCAAAAAGAAGACGACGAAAAAAUUAAGCAGCAGCUACUGAAAGACCGGGAAAAACAGAAAAGAUAUCACUAAAGUUGAAGAUAAAUUGAUGAAAGCUAAACAGGCAAUACAAUGAUAGCAGCAGAGAGGUCAGAGAAAAACUAUUGGAAGAAGCAGUCGAUCGAUUUCAAACUGCUCUGAAACGAAAUAACAAUCAAUGAGUCAAAGUCGCUCAUGGAUUGUUUAAAGGAGUUCAAGCUAUGAAGUCGGACUUGACACUUCUGAAAUUAAGUCACUACAUAGAAUUAUUGAAGAAGGUAAGUCAAGCCUUAUCACUAGCUUCUUUAAAAAGGCCCGAUUAGAACCGGAACAAAGUGGUAAUAAGGAGGAUAUAUAUGGGUUGGAUGCUGAAUAAGGCCCUCUAAUCUUAAUGAUUUUUAUUUAUGUUCUUUUAUAAUAUUACUCG